UACGUAGGUGGCAAGCGUUGUCCGGAUUUACUGGGCGUAAAGCGUGCGCAGGCGGUGAUGUAAGACAGAUGUGAAAUCCCCGGGCUCAACCUGGGAACUGCAUUUGUGACUGCAUCGCUGGAGUGCGGCAGAGGGGGAUGGAAUUCCGCGUGUAGCAGUGAAAUGCGUAGAUAUGCGGAGGAACACCGGUGGCGAAGGCGGUCUGCUGGGCAGUUGCUGACACUGAGGCGCGACAGCGUGGGGAGCAAACAGG
rnacentral:rRNA from 1 species